AAAUAAGAAGCAAAAUUUGCAUUUAAUUUCGACCUAAAAGUUUGGUGAAAAUCACCCUUAUUUU
rnacentral:tRNA from 1 species